AAAAAGAAGUAAAUUUUUCUUUUUCUUAUAUAUGCGAAGAACUAUAAAACAAAACCAAGCUUCUUAUCAUUCACGAAUCUACUCUUCUCUCAAUUUCUUGUUUAGUUAUUUCUCAACUAUGGAUUCAUCUUCCGGUGUACCAGUUCGUGGGCAUCCUGUGCAGCAAGGCUACCCCAAAAUGAUUAGGACCAGUAAUAUCAAAGGGACAAAAGAACAAAAGGGAGAUAAAUCAAACACGGAAGGGUCGAAGAAAAAAAAGAUACCAAACACGAAAAAGUGAGGAAGUCCAAAGAUGAGGAUGCAUGUUUGUAUAAUACUGAAUAAUUUGAAUUUACUUUGGAAGAAUCUUCUUCUUCUUA